UACGGAGGGUGCAAGCGUUAUCCGGAUUCACUGGGUUUAAAGGGAGCGUAGGUGGGCUUUUAAGUCAGCGGUGAAAUCUUUGGGCUUAACCCGAAAACUGCCAUUGAUACUAUUAGUCUUGAAUUCUCUGGAGGUAAGCGGAAUAUGUCAUGUAGCGGUGAAAUGCUUAGAUAUGACAUAGAACACCCAUUGCGAAGGCAGCUUACUACGGAGACAUUGACACUGAGGCUCGAAAGCGUGGGGAUCAAACAGGAUUAGAUACCCUGGUAGUCCACGCCCUAAACGAUGAUUACUCGACAUUAGCGAUAUUACAGUUAGUGUCUAAGCGAAAGCAUUAAGUAAUCCACCUGGGAAGUACGACCGCAAGGUUGAAACUCAAAGGAAUUGGCGGGGGUCCGCACAAGUGGCGGAGCAUGUGGUUUAAUUCGAUGAUACGCGAGGAACCUUACCUGGGCUAGAAUGCUGGGAGACCGCAGGUGAAAGCCUGUUUUGUAGCAAUACACUGCCAGUAAGGUGCUGCAUGGCUGUCGUCAGCUCGUGCCGUGAGGUGUUGGGUUAAGUCCCGCAACGAGCGCAACCCCUAUCUUUAGUUGCCAUCAGGUAAUGCUGGGAACUCUAAAGAAACUGCCGUCGUAAGACGUGAGGAAGGAGGGGAUGAUGUCAAGUCAUCAUGGCCUUUAUGCCCAGGGCUACACACGUGCUACAAUGGGGGGGACAAAGGGCUGCCACUUAGCGAUAAGGAGCUAAUCCCAAAAACCCUCUCUCAGUUCAGAUUGGAGUCUGCAACUCGACUCCAUGAAGCUGGAAUCACUAGUAAUCGUAUAUCAGCAAUGAUACGGUGAAUACGUUCCCGGACCU
rnacentral:rRNA from 1 species